GCUUAGGUUUCUCGUCUUAGGAUCAUCUGGGGUCAUUCGUACUCGUCCGCGAGAGGUGAAAUUCUUGGACCGGACGAAGACGAUCAGCAGCGAAAGCAUCUGUCAGGGAUGUUUUCUGCGACAAAGGACGAAGGUCAGGGUAUCGAAGACGAUUAGAUACCGUCGUAGUCCUGACUGUAAACUAUGCCGACUUGGGUCUUGCAGAGUAAAUACUUUGUGAGACCCACACAGAAAUGAAAGUGUAUGGGUUCUGGGGGCAGUAUGGACACAAGUCUGAAACUUGAAGGAAUUGACGGAAGAGCACCAUAAGACGUGGAGCUUGCGGCUUAAUUUGACUCAACGCGGGAAAACUUACCAGGUCAAGACAUGGGCGUGAUUGACAGGCUAAUGACCUUUCUCGAUUCCUUGGAUGGUGGUGCAUGGUCGCACUUAGUUGGUGCAGUGAUUUGUCAGGUUUAUUCCGGUAACGAACGAGACCUCGGCCUUGUAAAUAGUUUUACUGCUUACAGGGACAAUGUCGGCUACGUCAAGGAAGUUCGAGGCAAUUGCAGAUCUGGAAUGCCCUUAGAUGUCCUGGGUCGCACGCGUGCUACAAUGACGCCACGAGCGAGUUCAUGUGUUGAAAGACAUGUGAAAUCAGC
rnacentral:rRNA from 1 species